rnacentral:tRNA from 1 species
GGGCGGGUAGCUCAGCUGGAUAGAGCAUCGGCCUCCGAAGCCGAGGGUCGCAGGUUCAAAUCCUGUCCUGCCCACCA